GCAAAUAAGAGUAAAUAACGUCUGCAAACAUUCGCUAUCUGACCGUCCAUAACAAAAUGAUGAUUUGACCUUACUGUAGCACUGCGCAUGCGCGUCACAGUUCCAGAAAAAAGAAAACAAAGCCCCUCGUUUCCUCGACCGCAGAAGACCCGGCAUAGCUGUCUUUUGCACAAGUAGCGCUUCCUCUGAAGACGGCAUUCGUAUUUUGGAGGACAUUUCUCCCAUUCUGUUUUGGACAAAAUUACGCCAAAUCAAACGAACUGAAGUCCGAGCGACCAUGAGCACAAACACGCAGCACGCGAUGCACUUGUGUAACGACUGCACUAAGCGCAUGCUCGUUACUUAACGGUUAUAUAUUGUAAAUACGUAAGCGUGCAUUAAUCAAAUCUUACCUGUAGUUAUAGUUACCUUUAACCUUGUGCUCCCUGAUCAUUAUGGUGUGUUUGAGGACAUUUCUUCCU